ensembl:lncRNA
GUUCUUCCAGGUGCUGACAUAUGCAAAGACCCUUCCCUGGUUACAGGAGUAAAUACAAUUAGUGCAGCACAUUAUGCACUGCCUUCCUAUUUGUCGGUGCAUUCACCUCAGUGCAAGCAACACAAUGCCUGAGUGCCACUUACGUGCUACUGCCAACUCCAGCUGCCCCACGUACCCGAGUCAGACUUGAGGAGGCAUGCCUUAAAGAGCACAAGCACUGUGAGUAAAGCCUUCUGUAUGUAUCUGCAUUGUGUCACAGUCACAAGAUGAUCACUGUAUAGGAUAGAUCGUUGCUGUGUUCCCUGAGGCCAAUUGCAGAGAGUGAGACCAAAGCACGGCUGGGAUUCCUGGAUUCAGUCUGCCUCCUGUGCCACAGGUGAUGUGCCCUCUGGUGAGAUGCAGUGUGGAAUGAUCCCAUGAUGUAGGUGAGGAUUUCGGAGGGGGUCUCCAGGGAACAGACAGUGACAUUGUUCUGUCUCAGCCUGCCCAGGAGCCGUUCCGCUGCACAGGUGGAAGCAUUUUGAAAGAGCAGAAGAUCCAAAAGACUGUGAUGAAAACUUGAAGGAGCAUAAAUCUCUUUCCAGACUGCUCAUGAGCAGAACAGUAAAAGAUGUAUGUUGCAAAGUGCAGUCACAGGCUGUUCCUUCUGUAGUGGAAAUUAAGAGACAGACCAGGUCUAUCCCUCAAGAGCCAGCAAUUGCACUACACCUGAAGUAAGAACAGCUGGAGUGGAAGGCAUCAGUCAUGCCAGAAGCCAUGCUGUGGGACAUCUGGUACCAAUGCACACAGCUAGAGGAUAGAAAAGCCAGGGGGAUUAUGCAUUGUCUCCUUUUUCUUCCUCUCCUCUCCUCUCCUCUCCUCUCCUCUCCUCUCCUCUCCUCUCCUCUCCUCUCCUCUCCUCUCCUCUCCUCUCCUCUCCUCUCCUCUCCUCUCCUCUCCUCUCCUCUCCUCUCCUCUCCUCUCCUCUCCUCUCCUCUCCUCUCCUCUCCUCUCCUCUCCUCUCCUCUCCUCUCCUCUCCUCUCCUCUCCUCUCCUCUCCUCUUCUCUAUUUCAUUCUGCAGAGCACAUGUAGCAUCAUAAACAAAGCAAGAAAAAAAAAAAUGAAGUGCUGGUAAACAAGACUCCAGAUGGAAACCCCAUCUCAAAAACUGAGUUUGAGAGGAGAUCAAUGGUCUGUCUCUCAAAACUGAAGAGGGGAAUGAACAGCUAAGGACCCAGUAUCCUCCACCCCAGCUCUCCUGCCUGCAGCAAUUCUAAGGCAAGGUGAAUACUUUCCCCACAGGGAGUUGUCACUAUGAUGGCAUCAUAGGAAACAGCCACGACUUUCUGUAGGGCAGAGCUGUGCAGCCUUCAGAGAUAUUCUGAGAUGCUCUUGGCCUGAGACGGAACUUGUUGUGGGGAAUCACAGAAGGAAGGAGUUUCAGAGAAUCAUAGAAUCACUGAAUCAUAGAACCAUAGAAUUGUUAAGGUUGGAAAAGACCUUUAAGAUCAACUUGUUCAAUCUGUGAAUGUCAGAAGGCAGAUGGGGGUAGAUGCCACAGUACAUUUGCUGCAGUACCUAACUCAGAAACCUCUUUGGUGCUUGUUUGCUGAAAGCUGGAAGAACAUUUGAGUGUAAGGAUGAUUCUGUUCUGGUCUAUAUCUGAUAUGCUCUCCGUAAGUAUUUCCUACGUGGCAGAAAAUAAUUACCAGAGUAAGUGAGCUUCCAGCCAGAUAUGAGGAACCUAAUAAAUUGUGAUGACUGUAGGAAGUAGCAGGGGAUGGCAAGAAGGUAACCAGUCCCCCUCUGACUCGCAAGGCAGAUCAGCUUGUUUCUGUACCACUUUCCCAGGGACCCUCGAUACCUCUCUUUCAUGAAAGAGGACAGCUCCCCAAAUAACCCCCUCAACAUCUCACACCCAUCCCUCGGCAGGAAUUAGCCUCCUUUCUUUACACAGUAAAAAUUGAUUCAGGUCUGUGUUAUCUUGCAUCUUGAAAACAGCCUCCUUUCCUUUGCCUUUGGCCACAUCUGCCUUAAUGCAGCUGGACCAUCUAGGUCAAUUAUCCCUAGUGGGAUCUCCAUCGUGAUUUCUUUUGACCAUCAUUUUACUGCAGUAUUGAACACAACCUUGUCUUUGUCCUAAAGGCCCAUCGUGGCUUAGUCACCUACUCAUUUUUCCUAGCAAACCUGUCUUCUAUUAUCACCUUCAUGCACUUCCUUGAUUGGAUAGUCAUUAACUUCCUCUACGGGUAGAGAGGUUUUCUCAAAACUCAUAUCAACUGCAAGAUGAAAUGGGAUAUAUUUGAACAACAAUUAUCCCAGUCUUUCCUUAAAAUGUCUUAUAUAAUCCUGUAGAACUUGUCAUUGCCACUGAUGCUUCUGUGUCAUGCUGUCUGCUGAGAGCCCUGUUAAAUAUUUACUGUUAUUCUUGCAGGUGAACAUCUCUCCUGAUACCUCCUGCAUUUCACUCACCUAUUAGUCUUGCCUCCUUACAGUAGAACAUCUCCCCCUUCCAACAGGUCCACAAGCAACAGAAACGUCAGCGUCUCAUGCUGUCAAAGGUUGCACAACGGUAAAAGUCAUGCCACUGUACACUGUUUUAAACCACAUGCUUUUUACAGUGUAUCUACACAGAUCUUUGAACAAGAGUGGGUCAUCUAGGUAUCCCUGCUAUCCAGGCAACAGCAUACAUGCAGCACCAGAAGAAGCCAACUCCAAGGCUGUAUGGGAAAGGAAUGGGUAGUAUCAGGGCCUCAAUCCAGCAGGUUCUGCUUUUCUCUCUCUCAGUUCUGCUAGUUGCCCUGUAAGUGAUGCUAAGGGCUAUCCUUUCUCAUCCAAGAACAGCUUACAGCCAUUUGGGAAAAACUUCUAUCAGCAGCUCUAUCCUCUGUCUGGUUUUCCUAAAGAAGAUACAGACGCCUUGGACUGGAUUAUCACAGCAGUGCAGGUGGGCAUGUUUUUCUGCCUAAACUUUACUGGCCCAUUGAAAGCUGCUCUGUGAUGAACCUAUACUGUUGGUGUGAAAAGCAAGGACUGCUCACACGGUGUGUCUCUGGGAACGUAGAAACCAGCAAGAAUUGUGGCUCCACUGCUCUGGUUCCCUGUGGAGCUGCUGGAGAGGCUCACUGCUCAGAUCUGGUUGUUGUUGGCCAUUGAGUGCCCCUACGUGGGAAAGCGGUGCUUCGAUAUUGUGGAAACUGCCUGUGGGAAGGUGUCGAUUCUCACAGCAUUUCGGAGAAGGCACAAGGCUUUCCAGCUUAUUGAAACGUUUGUUUUGACUUUUAUAAUAUAGUACAAAAGCCUUCAAGUUUUGUCUAUUAAAUUGCUGUGCCAAAAUAUUAUGACGGGUCACGGAAUAAUAGUCUUACUGUUUUGACUCUAAAGCGUGCUACGACAUGGGUCAAGCUGAUGAAAUCAAAAUGAAAUUACUGUUUUGUUUUGACAAGAUUGUGUUUCUUUUCCAUUUGUUUGAUAAAGUCAAAGCAAAGAUCUCCGUUGGAUUUUUCCGCAGUAUGGCCUCAACGUUUCAUUUUCUCAUUCAGGUGUGGGUUUUGAAUGGAACAUAAUGUUUUGUGCCCAGAUCAUAGAGGGAAAGAUGCAUGUGGGUAGCACCUCAGAGUCACAGUUCAGCCCCGAUUUUCUGAGGACUGUACCCAUUGCUUCAUCAGCUUUAGCAAAGAGAUCUUUGUGAAAGUUCAAUCUUGGCCUGCGGUGUUAGUGUCGUACUUUGAGCUAUGCCACCUUCUGCUGUUGUAGUUCCCAGUCACCCUCCCCUUCUGUUUAGCCACCUGGAACCCACUCCAGAAGCUGGCUGGGAAGAAGUACCUCCUGAAAACUCAUCCUUUGUGACCUGCUGAGUCAGGAAGCCUCUAAAAUAUAGAAUAAAACUGUCCUUAGACCAUAGAGCCCAAUGGUGCAGAUGUGCGGCAGCCAGUCUUGUCCAUCUCUCAUGCAUGUGGCAUCCCUGAAUCUAUUCCCAAACCUUGCUGCUCCCCUGUGAUGUUAGGAGAGUGCCCAUUCCUGCUUUCCCCUCCCAAGCUCUGUCUGGUUGGACUGGGGUGUUUCCCGGGCUGAAACUCUGGCUUGCCUAUAUUGUGUGCAAAGUACCUGGAGCAUGAUGGAGAUCUCACACUAUGCUUCUGGUGACAGGUAAUGUAUCCUUUCUAUUGUGCGCUUUUCUACUCUGAACAUUGCCUUUCAUGGUAAUAUACUUAUAUCCUUUGUUUGUUCUGUCUCUUUCUUUUUUUUUUUUUUCCCCAUGGAUUUCCCUUUGUUUGCCUGGUUUUGCUCUGAUGCGCAGGUAUUUAUCUAAGUGGGGUCUGCUGUGUUUGUACCAGCCCAGGUGGCAUGCAAGAUGCAAACAUCAGACACCUCUUUACACAUCUCCAGGUUUCCUGGUUGAUUGAUUAAUAGCUUUCUCCCUUAUCAGCUUGUCUUUCUCAUAACUGGGGGUCAGCCUGCACGGACUAACACCUUUGGUGAGGCCCUGUUUCCUAUAUACAUCAGCUUCACUGACUUCUUAUUAUCUCAGCCCUAUCUGAACCUUUGUUCAAUUCAAGAGGUAAUUAAACUUGAAGCCAAAGCAAAUGUCAGGGUGAUAAUGAGACAGAUAAGAUUAAAAAUUCUUUCUUUUUUUUUUUUUUUUUAAAGACCUGACACAUACCUGAAGUGCCCGUUGGCCCGCAGCCAGUGGAAAGUUCCCUUUCUCACCUGGAUGCAGUCAGAGCGGUGGCCAUGUAAAAAAUGGCACCACCUCCCGCCAGGUGUGAGCGGCCGAGAACAGCACCUACCUGGCAAAGCAUUCGAGCGUCAGAGCACCAGUGGUUUGUCUGUCUGCCUGUUGGUAUCAUCCCUGUCCUGCCCUACUGCUGCAUUGCUCCUCCACCUCCCCUCUGCUUGUGGCAUCCCUCAGCCGUGUGUCAGCCAAGAGCUGCCCUAAAGCUCUGCGAGCAACAAGUGACACCAGCAGGCAUUAAGCCUGAGCUCUAUCAGCAUGGUGUACGAUAUACCACUGCGGUGACUGGUAUUUUUGACGCCUUGUGAAGCCACACUUGAAACUGUAGCACCCCAGAAGGAUCCUUCGCUGACCUGUGCUGAUGCAAACAGCAACAGCAGAGACGCAUUAAGUCUGCAUACACAUCUACCAGGUAUAACGCUCUAUAUUGUUAGAUGUCACAAUCAUAGGAAGUAUAAAUACCACAUGCCCUGCAUGUGACACAGCUGCUCCACCUGUGCUUAAGCCCUGGACUGUGGCAGCAGGGAGGACAGCAGGCAACAGCAGCUGUGUUGCAGAUCUCACCUGCUUCCAGAGGGAGUGAACCUCAAAUUCUGCAUAUCCAGCUGACUGAGAAAAUACCUGCUGCCUGGAAGGUCCCCAGUGGACCAGGAAAAGAACCAGUCACUUGCACUCUAAACAACAUCAAAAAGUUCCACUGUGGCUGCCCAGGAGGCAAUCGGUCAUAUUGCUCUGGGUUCACUAGUUCACCUGAGACUGUCCUCCACAAAUAAAGGCAUACUGAUGCUCAGUCUGCUACUCUGAUUUUCUUAUUACAUUCAAUUAACUGCUGAAACUCCAGAAAGUAAUUCACGUAGGUGUCCCAUCUCAACAAAUGCCUUUUGAACUGUGACCUUCUCUAAGGAAAGUUUUUUUUUUUACCUUGAAUUAUCUGCGAGUCAUGCCCUCUAUCUUAUCUUUUAUUUCUGGUGAUAGCAUCUUAGUGUCAGCACUCAGGAAGGUUUGCUGAUGGAUAGGAAUGGAAGGUGCAGCCCAUCAUUAAAUACACAGGCUGUGUUCAGUGGCGAUAUUCAGGAAGCCUUUCUUCAUGUCUUCAUGAUUUUGUUUGUUUGUUUAAGAUCCCCAAAUCACUGUCCAAGAAGGUUGAACUCUGUGACUUGUGGGCAAUACGCCAUGUCCACAAACCAAAAACAGUGGACUUUCAGUCCCAGGGAGGUCUCCUCUUGCUCUCUGGUCUUCUCCAACCUCAGUGACUCUAUGAUUCUAUGAUUCUACUCGCAGUUACCUUGUAGUAACAGCCAUGUUGAGUGACUGAACAUGAGCUGCUUACCUCAAAGGUACACCUAACCCCUGAGGGUGUUGCCACCUUGACAAAUCAGCAAUGGUAGAGAUGCUCCAGGUGCACUUUGUCAUCAUCAGCUUACAAUCAUGCUCCGGGCACAAAUGAUGAGAUCCAUUUUAAAAGUACGCAUUUAUUUAUUCUUAACAUAUAUGCAUAUACCAAUCAAUAUUAUUCCUUUCCUAAUACCUGAAUCAGCCUAAAUUCUAGAAAUCCCAUGGCAUUUGUAAGGUUUGCUGCUCAGCCUUAACUGUCUGAAUCGUGUUCCCUAAAUUGAGGGAAACCAAAUUAUCAGCACCCAAUGAGGGCUGCAAACUAAAAGCUUCAGAAGGCUCAGAUGUCUUUUGCUCUAACAUCUACCGUGACAUUAAGUGUUGAUUAUCCUCUGAAAGUGUUAUGAGGGGUUAACCUGUUGGAGGCCAAUUCAUGCUCUCACCUGCAGAAGGAAGGUCUAGGAGUGAAUAUUUGGGGGAUUUGUAGUUUCUCAACUGAUAGGGAACUUUAUGCUCUCUUGUAUCACACAGUUUGAUGGUUUGGGAAGUUUGUCUUCACACGGAGUACAAACCCUGAUUAAUGUGAUGUUGUUGCUAUGGUCAUUGCCCUAUCACGCAGUGUUUUCUGUUUCUGGCUGUGCCGACAAGGCCUCUAGCACCAGUCUAAGGGCAACGAGUAAUAACAGAGACAAACGGAGUCAUAAUGACCGUCCUCGGAGCAAACAAUUGAUAUGGUAAUGACGUCGGUGGGAACGUGGCUCAUAUCUACAAAGAGAGCGUCGGAGAAUGGAAAUAGGACAGGGCAAAGAACUGAAGGGAUUAAAAAAGCUAUUUGAAGAAGACUCUUGUGAGAUUAUUUCAAGGACCUAGAAUCAGUUCUGGGGAGAAGGAAGAAUCCAGUGUGAUUUUCAUACUGGGAGCAGGUCUGAUGUAUGAGUUGAGCUGACCCAAACUUAAAAUUACUCCGGCAUAGAGAGAACACUGAGAGAAAGAAAUGUGUGCAGAUCUUUAUAAUCUGAAUUUCAUCUUCUGUGCACUUCACAUACUGAGAAAGGAGCUAAAUGUUCCCAUUACAUUUUCAAACUACCAACCACAUACUCUAAACUUACAGUGGAGCACCAGAUCUUCCAGUCAGCCAUGGUCCUGAAGAAUGGGGUAAUGGCUGGAAAACAAAGCAGUUUUGUUUGAGGCUCCACCUCUGCACAGAGCCAGUGCCUAGGCAUGUUUCAAGACUGGCCAUGAAGAUGGGAUCUGCAGCCUACUGAUGCAGAUAAGGCAAUGGAUUGGGGCUCUAGAAAUAUUUAUGUGAAUACCUACUUGAGCCAAGCCAUGAGCAGUAGCUUUUUCAUGCAGUCAAUCUUUUUAUUUUAUGUUUGGCCCCACCAAUGAUCUGCCUUAUUUUUUGGGGGGGGGGGGGGGGGGGUCGGGAGAGAGAUGUUGUCUAUGAAAAACCUCAAAGAAUGGAAAAUCUGGAAGUCUCAUGAGAAUCUACUGCAGUGCUAAUGCCUUCACUGUUAAAGGCUUGUUUCUGCUCUUAAUUAUUCACACUUCAACUUACACAUUUCCAAGCAAAGAACCCCUCUUUCUAGAUGCUUUUUGCGCAGACACUCUUAAACCCCAUCAAGUUGUCUCUUAGCUGUCUCUUUGAUCAGCCAAAUAGAUAGAGUUCCUUAAGUCUCUCUGUAGGGUGCAGUUUUCUAACCAAGAACCAUUUUCAUGCAAUCUAGGAUCUGAGCUAAACAAAGCCUCUUGAGGGAAGAACUUUGGUCAGAUCAAGUCUUGAGAAAAGGCUUAGGAGAUGGACUUUGUUAUCUAAUUACAUUUGGUGUUAAUAAAAACCUGAUUAUACAGCUAUAAAUUCUGCAGUUUUUAUUGUUUUGCUGUGACAAAGACCUGAGUCAUCCAUUGCACUUCUCUGUGAAUAUCUUCCCUUUGAAAUGAUUGUAACAAGCAUGAUUAUAUUACAUCAAUAUAAAUCAACAGUGAUGCCCUGUCCUGGUUAAAAUAUAUUGACGCUUUAUUCGCAACAUCAUGAGUUUCUUUUUAGGCAUUUUCAAAAGUAUAAAUCUCCCUUUCAGAGAUCUCAGUAGCAAAAUUAGCAUUUGCUUUUUGUCCCUGUGCUCACAAUUUUUUCAUGGUUGUCAGUCCAAGUAUUUGGCCUUCAGAGCUGUCUGACGGGAAGCAUAAAUCAGGUGUAUAAAAUGCAGUAUAUGAAAAUGCAGGCUCAGUUUUCUGCAAGAAAAGUUUCCUUUUCACAGGUGUAAAAGUGGAAGUGAAUCUCUGUUUAAAAGGUUGAACACGACUUUAUCACUUCAGAAAAGUGCAGCACUGCAUUGCUGCAGUGAGAAAAUUCUUACUGGCUAACUAAAGGCUAGUAAAUUGUAACGUGUUACUGAAUCUCCCAUGGAAGAAAUCAUGAUCUCAUAAUGGAAAAGUUCACUGGGGUAUAUUAUUACUGGAACAUGUCCUCUAAGAAUAAGGGCAGAAGCUCGUAAUGGAUACGGUGCCAGCACAAUGGCACAUGAGCGUACUCUGCAAUCCGCAUGUCUCUGUGCAGCUUCUCCUCCCACAGAAAGGUCAAUGACAGAGAGGCAAGAGGAUAGACACUGAUUUAUGUGCCCACCACCCUGCUAAGAAAUGCUUUUAACUAGGUUGGGCCUGAGCUGCAAACAGCCCUGCUUAUUUCUGCUAAACAUUAUUAAGGUCAUAAAAUGUCUCAAGAUUCAUGCAAACUUCAUGCCAACUUGGCUGCAGCCCAAUGCGUCUGCUGUAAGAGCCCCCUGAGAACAGUUGGAGAAAUGAUGACGGCAGGUGGCAUGCUGAGCUGGAGCCUGGAAGGGCUUUCUUUGAGAGGUUUUGUGCCUGGUUUUGGCAUUCCAUCUUUCAAUGGGGUGAAAGCAUUUCAAGAAGUAAACCCUGCAAAAAAAGUCUCUUGGCCUCUUAAGCCCCUCCAUGACUUCAAGUGGCAUCUCCGAGUCAGUGGCUGGGGCCUCCCAGGUGUUGUCUGAGAUCAUCUGGAAGUGUAAGAGUGCUGCUUUGGAGAGCAGUGCAGAUUGUGGUAUUGCUUCAGAGAUUGGGCAUGGCAUACCUUUUGGUGCUGCUAGCUUACAAGUUCCAGCAUCCCAGGUUGGCCCAGCAAUCCUCCAAAACGACUUAUUGUGCAGGUGCUCUUCCAAGGGCAGUGGCCUUUCGCUCUCAGGAAAGUUGCAACUUGUUCCCUCCUAUCAGCAGAGUGCAGAGUCCCCAUUGAAGUAGAAGUGAGGCUCAGCACUCAUCCCCCAUUCCCAUAAACAGGGCAUGGCUACAGGGACAAGGCAGCCCCGAGGCUGGGACUGGACCAGGCAGUGGCAAAGGGACAGAGAUGCCUCUUCUGGCAUGUAGGGUAGCUGCGGUGCACCAUGGGUCUGGUCACUUUCAUUUGUCCUACUUCUCUGCAAAGAGAUUGUAGGAUCUCUUCUGUUGAUAUCCCCACUCAUGGGGAAUUCACCAGUGGGCCGAGACUCAGGUAUAUGAAUGCUUCUGCUUUGCAAAAGAUGAGAUGUAUAGUGAAGUUUCAGGCCCCCGGUGUUUUGAUUGGCUCUUCUGUCUGCCCUUAAGGGAUAAACUCUUUAAAUUGCAUGGCAUCAACCAAACAGCAACAACAAAAAAAAAAACGUGUUGCAACCAAACAGUGUCCUCUACAACAAAUAAACUUGUUGCAGCAACUCAUUUCUUAUUAACUCCACUUCCCUAGCAAAUUUGUCUCUCCUCCAGAAAGCUAUAUUAAGAAGACCAGUUUGGUGUGCACACAAAUCAUGGCUUUGUUUAGUAGAUCUGUUCUCUAAUCAGGUCAGGUAAGGGCCCAGAGACCAGUUAUGGGGGCCAUAUAAAUACCUCCAUAGAUAGAGGCAUAGGAGAUAAAAUGCAAAGAUAUUUAUUAUUUUAUGAGGCUCGUUCCUUCUUCCAGAAUCUAAGGAAAAGGUUUUCAUUGAAUGUUAGUAAACUGUCUUUGAUGUAGUGAAAAAUUUAUUAUUUUUGAAAGGUUUGAUCUUUCAUAAAACAAUUCCAGGCUGAAGAAUUUUUGGUGGUGCUGGUGACCUCUAAUGACAUUACCAAGUCACAAGUGACCAUACAUGGCUGUGAUACAGCAGGGGCUGUGCAUGACUUACAGAGUCUCCAGAAGUAUUAUGUGUCCAGCACCCAGUCAAGGCCCUGUGCAAAUGCCAUGAGCGCUUUGUACACAAGUGCUUUCUGCCAUUUCACUUUUUGGUGGGUGACUGGUCUUGUAGGUACAGGGCAUGCUUUCUGAGCUCAGUGGCCGUGGAAGAGAUCACUGCCCAUUUCAGAAGGCAUACAUAACCCUGCACCCAACCUUUUGGGCCGCUGAGAUGGACAAUGCUAAUGCACAGAGCAGGUGAGAACUGCAUUUGCCAGGACUGCCCCAGGAGCAGGCAGCCACCCAAGGUUACACAAACUCGGUGAUGUCCUCAGAGCUGUAGGUGAGGGGUAACUCCAGCUGCUUAUUUUAGGUGGCUGAUGGAUGGGUGCUUUCACAAAGGCGGAUGAGCAGAUGUAGCUGCUUGCACAUCAGUUUAUGAAUGGUAGAACCAAAGUGGUAGAAUCUAAGGGUCUUGCUGAAAGAACUCGUGAGGGGAUGUGGUUGCAGGGGAGUUGGCUGAGGGAAAUCUUUGGUUCAGAUGGGCAGUCAUGUUCCCUCUGAGUACUUCUGCAGUGAGUGACAAGGAGGUGGCAAAACAUGCAAACUCACCAUUGCUUGCUGAUAAAAAUGCACAGAGAAAGCUUGCCCUUUCCUCUUAGAGUUUUAAUCAAGGUUUACGAAAAGCUCUUAGAGUGGAUAGUAUGGUAUCUUAGUGUGAGAUGCUCUGAUUAUAAUGUCUUGCUCCGGACUCUUUUGCCAGUUCGGAGUCAUUAAUAACAAACUAGUGCUUGGGACUGCUGCAGGAAUAGAAACAGCGAUGUUUCUGAGGUUCUCAACUCUCGGUGUGUCUCAACUCUUGGCACGUGAGAGGGCCAGCAACUGGGGAUGAGACAUGAGGUGUUGGAAGUUUAUUUCAGUCCUGGUCUUCACCCUCCUGCCUAUCCUUGGAUUAAAGAAAACGCUGAUUUAUUUCACUGUGUUUGUUUCAGUUGCUGAUUGCUGUUAAUGACUGCAAAGCCCCACCCUUUCUAUUAACGGGUCAGUGCCCAAAACAUACCCACUGUUCGUCAGAUCUACAUAGUUUAAACAGGUGCUCUUUCUAACACAUAAGAAAUAUGAGCUGACUCUUUAAAGUCAAGCUGUCCCACUCACAGCCUAGGAAUAGGGCUCGCUUUUGCAAAUACUCUCAAUGACUGCGAAUUUAAGUAAUGCAAAUCCUGACAACUAGUAUUUGGGAAGCUGUGGUCCCUGUCUGACUCUGAAACAGCUGCUUUAUGAUGAAUGAUCCAGUAAAUUCCCAGCUCAUAGAGCUACCUGAAUUUCAAGCAGUUAGCAGGCAGGGAAAUAAAUGACUGCACUGCCACUGCAUAGUGCAGUAGGCGAAAGGAUUUUCUUUUAUUGCAACCCUUUACCCUAGGGCUAUAUUUAUAGUGGGAAAGAGGAAUACAUCACCCAGUUACACUGCCUAGUGCAGGAUGAACCUUCUGGGACUAUGGCAGGUGAGCCUGUCUCACACACGUCCUCUGAAGGUUGUGGUUGAAAUGCGUUCAGUGGUAAGCAGCUGACCUUUGUGUUCAGUCACCAACAAGAGAAGGAGGGAGGAGUGGCACUGGAGGGACCGGAGGAGGACUCUGGAGGUCCACCUUCUUUGGAAAGUGGAAGGCUCUCUUGGAAACAGCCAAGGUCCCUGGCUUGCAGAGACACUGCAUAGGCCAAUAGGAAGAGUCCCACUGAAUGGCUUUGGGAGCAGACAGCACAGAGUGUGGUGAUUUUCUUAUCUAGAUGCCACCAAAAUUGUGUCUAAAGGGGCAUCCAUGUGGCACAUGCAGAAGUCCUUUAGAUGACUUAUGCUGUCCUAACAAAAGUAGCACUAAACUUCCCCAAGGAAGGAAGACCAGCACUUGGCUGCGCCCAAGAAGAGCUGUCUGCCCAGGCCCUUGGACAACCCACCAAGAGGAACCAGACGUUUUGUGGGGUACACCCAGUACCAAUGGGACUCUUCCCAUUGUCUUAUGCCUGUGCAAGGGGACCUGGACAAGAAGUCUCAGGCAAGAAGGAGCUGAGGCAGGACAACUCCAGCAGAGCCUUUGCUAAUGUUUGCCUCACCUAUGGGGUAGAUGGGCAAGGAAGCCAGGCUGGCUUCUGAGCAAAGACAGGAAGCAGCAUGACAAAGCGUUGCACAGUGGCUGUGUGUGCUGCUUUGGGGAUUAUCGAGGGAGCAGGUCAUUUUCCAGAAUUCAUAUUCAGUGUGCUUAGCUUAAUCCAGUAUUUGCUCCGUUCUCUCUUAAGCGCCACAUCCUACCAGAUACGAUGGCUUUUCAAAGCUCUUUCAGGGGUGAGUUCUUUGUUUGCUUUCUUUUGUGUUUUCUUCUUUUUCCAAAAUAGUGCUGAGGAAAUGUGAGGCAGCCCAGCCCUGCGUACGUGCUGCCACAUUCUGGAAGAUGGAAAACAAAAGCUAAAAGAGGAUGGUUAACCUUUUCUAAUUGUCGCAGCACAGGACUAGUUGCCAGGAGGAACUUGAGCGCUAAUCCUACUUUACUCACCAUGUGACCUUUGGGUAAGUUACCUAAUUACCUUGUCCUUCAGUCAGCAGAGCCUGUAAAGAGCAGGUGUUCCAGUGGAAGCCAGGACUGCUGAGCCAACCUGUGUCUUUAGGAAAUAACCGGAGAAUAAAGCUCGUCACACUUUUUAAAAGGUGGAAUUGAUGCACAGAGGUAAAAUGUUCUGCACAAAGUUUAAUCCUGCCCUCUAAUCUUCUGAUGGGGCACAGGACUGAGCCCAGACUAUACGAUUGCAUGAAAUAUGUAGGUCACUCCAGAAGUAGUGCCUCCUAUUCAUUUUCAUGGAAACCACAACAGAUACAAAGAGCACAAUAACAGUAUUUGAUAGAGCAAAUUCUUAACUACAAAACAGUACUUUUCAACACAGUCACCACCAUUAGCUCUGUGUUUUCACCAGCAAUGAACAAGAGCCUGCAUGACAUGCUCAUAAAAAUCUGCACCAGCAGAAGUGACCCACUGUUUCCCAGCUGCUACGAUGGCAUUGUUGCUAGGAAAACGUUGCCCACACUGUCCAGCUUUCACCGUGCUCACGUCCACUGUUUGGUCUCCGUAAACAUUCAGCAGUCAUUGGUGAACGUCAGUGGGUGCCAUUUUUUUCCACAUGGAGGAAUUCAGUGACACACCUUUGCUUCUUACGUACUUCCACGUCAGAUGCCAUUGUGUCAGACUGUUCCUCUGCUGCCAUCUGUCACACGGCAACAACAUGUAAUGGAAUACUGGUGGGAAGGUUCAACCUCUGCUGCUGUACCACCAACGUCUGCCUCUAAUGUUGUGGGCCAACCUAUUAACACAGAAGGCAUUACUUUUGGAGCUGCUCUCAUAUCAUUCUGGAGGGCAUGUGGUGUUUGUGGAGGAGAGGUCUAGUCAAAUUAUAACUGAAUCAGCUCUGUUCUGCUGGAAUUAAUUUCCCCCAGCUGGGCUGCACGGAUCCUCUGCUUCCCUGGCAGCCCCGUGCUGCUGCUGCCAGGAGCACCCGCCAGGUCCCACAGUGGCUGCCUCCCGGAGGAGGUGGGAUUUCCCCUCUGUGCAGUUCCAUUCAGAAGGAACUUUUGGGCUGAGAUAAAAAACCUCAGCACAAAGAAGUGCUUACAAGCUUUUUCCCCUUCAGUCUCUUCUCCUUCCUGGGUAUAUUUUUUUAAUUGACUCUUCUUAACAGUAGUUUCAUCUCUUUUCUUCCUCAAAUUAUGUGCUAUUAGGUACGUAUACAGUUCUCCUUUUUUUCCAGAUUCUUCACGCUGAUGUAAAAUGAAAAGAUACAAACAGCCGUCCCCAGAGAGUAUUCUCUCUCUUGUGAAAGAUCUUUCACCUUGCAUUGUAAAAGCACUUUACAGAACUAUUUGUUCCCUUUUUGCAUUUGAUGUCGAAGAAAAUGCCAGUGUCUCUCUGCUUUGGAUUACAAACACAUCGUUUAUUAUUAUCUGGCACUCAGGAGGCAAUCCUGCCUCUUGGAGUAGGACCUGCUUAUUUUUCUGGUUUGAUCUCUCUUUCAUUUAAAGGAGGAAAAUUCCAGGGAGAUGCAUUGCAAAGAGCCAAGCUGCACUCAUCUCCUCUUCUCAGCAAGUCUGGUCCUCACAGUCAUUUGCUACAAUGGUCCAGGUAUGGUAUUCAUUUAAACCUUCCCUUUUUAUAAUAUACUAUGAAUUCAGAAGCUGAAAUGCAGUCCUCUUUUGGAUGAAGACAUUUUGAAACCAGAUUUCUAGAAUGAGGUUUUGAUCCCUUCUUAUUCAAAAGCACCCAUAACCAUGAACGGUCUAAUUGAAACAGGAGGCGCUUGCCACGGACUAAGGAACAAUUCAAUGGGAUUAAAGCAAUGCAGAAUCUGGGCUGUUGUGAUUAAAUUUUGCAAAUAUUAACUGACAAAUCUUGGCACAAAUCCUAGCCAAUAUGUAAUGGAGCAGUUCCCCAGAAGAGAGCUGAGCCUUGCCUGAGGUGUAGCAGCAUAGCUGUUUUGACACGUCCUUCCAUUGUCUUCUCUUGACAGAAGCGAAAGAUUUUGGCUAAUGAAGUGCUCUUUGAGGGGUAUUAAGGUUAGUUUGGAAAGAGCAAUUUCAAGGGAAAAAGUCUGCAAUGUGACAAGAAAGCCAGACAGCAGAAGUCCUUCUGCCCUGAAAACUGACUCUAGGAGUAAAAACCUUUCCCACAACCCAAUGAGCUUCUUAGGGCAAUUCCACACCAUACGAUGAAGUGUGCUGCAAGGAUCCCAGUGCUGGCCAUAGAGCUGGCAGCAGGACCAGGAGCUCAAGAGCUGUGUCAGCAUGGUCCAGUGAAUAAGUCCAUCCUCCUUGCUUAGAAGCCAAUAUGCCGUGAUUUCCAAAGUGAGUUCACCUCCCUCCAGGCUUUGCACUGUGCUGAAUGUACAGACAAGUCUUCCUGGGGCUUGCUUUGGACUUUUCGCAAGUGCAAUAUUACACAUACCUGCAUGUUCCUUCAGCUGAAGAAUAAGCGUUGGGAAAUGGAAAGGAAGAAGCCCCUGUUCUGUGACAACAGGACAAUGCCAUUUGUCAUUUGUCCCUGAGUUUUCUACUAACAGACUAUUGAGAGGAUGUUGUUUGUCUUUUUUUUUUUUUUUUUGGCUUCAGCUGCCUUUUAGGUUCCAGGAUGAAUCCGAGUUGCUGAUAUUCAUCUGUGAGUAUACCACUUCUCAGGGAGACUGCCAGUUUGACCCAGAGCCAAGUUUCACAGAGGUGCUGCAGCUGGUGCAAGUAGGUCAUUAAUGGUGAGGGUCUCCCACUUCGAAAUUACUCUUCUCUGUUUUUGACCUGAAAUAACCUGUUGAAUCAAUCUGUGUCCACUUGUGAGCAUCAGGCUCCAAGACAGUUGUUGACCAACUGGAGAGCGUCCAGCAGGAAGGCAGGAACAAGAGCGAUCAGAGGGCUAGAAAACAUGAGCUAUGAGGAAAGACUGAAAGAGUUGGGUUUGUUUAGUCUAGGGGAUUGAAGACGGUUAGACGUGAUAACACCCUUCAAGUAUGUGAAAGGCUACUGCAAAGAGGAAGGAUAAACUGCUCUUCAUGUCUGCUGGGGACAGGAAAGGAAGUAAUGGGCUUAAAGUGCAACAAAGGAAAUUCAGGUGAGAUGUUAAGAGACAUUUUCCAGUUGUGAGACUCAUGAAUUGCUGGGAUGAUUAGCUGUGUGAAAACACUGCCAUGGGAAGGUCUGAGCAAUGGCUGAGAUAACUAUCUGAAAUCCAGCACCUUCAGCACAGCAGAUCCUAUCUGGAGGCUGGUGGAAGGGUAAGAUGACCUUAAAAAUUUCUUCCAGCUCAGUUUUUUGUAUGAUUUCUGUUAUCAAAGCAGAAAUUCACAAAGCUGGCUCUCAAUUAUCUGGAGGGUAUUUUGCUCCUGGGCACUUCUCUGGUUUUAUGAAUUGUUGUUUCAUGGGAGGAGGGUUCUGGGGAAGUUGUUCAUCCUGAGAUCAUCUAGAAGAAAAUCCCAAAUUAAAAACACUUGAAGGGUGUUACAAAUGCAACCAAACAAAAGUGAAGGGCAGGUUUCUCUGCUGCUGUAAAAAUAAGGCUCCUUGCUGGGCCAGCUGCCCUCAUCAGUGUCCUAAACCAUCCAUCCAGUGGUGGCCAAUGUGGUGGUCUUUGCACCAAGUACAACCUGAGUCCAACAAAAAUAAACAAAUGGACACCUGAGCACUCAGGAGCAGCCAGGAAUUGCUGGGAUUCUUUAUGUAACUCAAUAAAAGGGAAAGAAACAAAACAAUAGCAAAUCCUGACGCACACAACAAUCCCUCCUUCUCCAGUUUCACAGAGAAGCAAGUUCCAACGCUGUCAAGUCAAAGAUUAAAUAAAAAGAAAAAGCCAAGAGGCACACUGCCAUGCAUAUAUUAGAUGUGUGUAGAACAACGGCAUGCACACCUUCACAGAAACAAACACUGUGAGAUGAGCAAGGGUUUAAGAUCCAGCAAAGAAGCCGCCUUCUCAGCAAGUUCAUUGAGCCUGUAUUUUUAGGCCUUACUUUUCUUUAAUCCCAUCCAUUUUUAACAAUGGAACAUUAAGCAACUGAUGCUUUCCUAGAGGACAGCCCCACAAUUGGUUAUCAUUGAACUGGAGCUCCCCAGGCUGUGGCCACCAUGAUGCUACUCCCCAGGGAGGCCAGAGUUUGGCUCAGCUGGUGUGAGCAUCAGGCUGGUUUAGGCAUUUCAGACAUCCGUGCAGAAAGCAGCUCUCCUCUUUCCCCGAGCUGAGCUCCUUUCUGUUGCUCUUCUGCAUCCUUUUUGUCCUCUUGUGUACUCUUCUGGAAUUUAGCUUUGGGAAGCACGCACCAGCCAGGGGCCAAUGAGCUCGUUCGACCUUCCACUUCAUCUGUGACAGAUUCAUUUUUAAGUGGGAAUAAUGAUAAAUGCUGAUGAGGUGCAAGAUUUGACAUUCAUAUGGGAGUGCAGAGCAUGCAAUUUCUGAUUUCAAUGAAAUCCAGAAAUGGGCGGAUAUUUUUUCUUUUAUCUGCAAAGUUUUGAAGAUCAGCAGUGCAUUUGAAGCUUUUAGCUUUCAAAGGGCCUUCUUUUCCAUUGAUUUUCUGGUUGCAUAGAACUUUAGCUCCAUCAUUUUUGUUUUGAAAAAAAUCAGAAUGAAAAAAAUCUUAAUUUCAAAUUAAACAUGGAGAGCUUUCUGUGCAAGCAGGAUCCAUACUUGGUGCUGUCAAUACUUGGGAUAUGCAUGGAACUCUUGGACUGAUCUGCUGACAUGCACCAAGGAUAAGGUUCUCCCUCUGCCUAGACUAGCACUGGCAUCAAGGCAGUGCUCAGAGAACACUGUCACAUAGUUCAGCUGACCAAGUUCAGUGUUUAGUUUUCUUUUGGAAUCUUGUUUCUGUGGAUUAAUAUAUAUAUAUACUUUUGGACAAACAGUCAUUUUAAUAUCUCGGGGUAUUCCUUCCAGCAAGACAUGGACACCUCCUUUGGUUGUGUUGUUUCAUGAAUGCAACUGAUGUGAGCGUAGGUCAGCCCCGGGUAACGCUCUGUGUGUCUGGGAUGUCCUUGGGAGCACGGAUCACCUGGAUCCCAGAUGGCUGAGGCUGAUGCAUAUGGAGCAUUGCAUAAAUGCCUUAUUGUUCCUCCUAUCCUUUUCCAGUUGCUGCUUGGUGAAACAGUUACUGAGUUCAGUUUCACUCUCUGUGCUGUACAUACAGGUCAUACAGAUGCUUUAAGAUGCUGCCGAAUUGUUCUUUGGAAAAGAAAAAAGAAAAAAGAAGGAAAAAGGAAAAGGAUAUUAAGUCUUUUCACAAACCUGCAAUUGGAGUGUUUACUUUGGGUACUGAACACCCAACCCAAGUUACUGAAGCAAGUAAUCUCCUGAUGCCUGUUGCCACACGCACCUCCAACUGCUACUCACACAGCAGCCAGACAAGUGCAGCUCAAGGCUGUAGCUUCAUUGUACUGCUUCAGAUGCUGGCUGGAGGGAUGUCUUUUUCUCUUGUUCAACAACAUUUAGGUAACUUUAGAACAGGGACACCUACAGCUCCAUCAGGUGCUCAGAGCCCUGUCCACCCUGACCCUGAGCGUCUCCAGGGAUGGGGCAUCAACCACAUCUCUGGGUAACCUGUGCCAGUGCCUCACCACUCUUACUGUAAAAACAUCUUCCUUAUGUGCGAUCAAAAUCUCUUGGUCUGCAGAAGGUCUGGAGCGUGGCAAUGCUGUGCUCAAUUUCUCUGCUGCCACUCCUGCCAGCUCUUGCUCAAGCAGAACAUCUCUAAAGGCCAAGGAGGAAUUCCGCCUGUAUGAACGUCACAAAUCUGAAAACCUCUGCUGGCAGUACUGCUUUCCAGGAACACUGAUGGGGAGUUGUAGGCUAAGCACACUGCAGGCAAGCUGUGGAGUUAGCGUGCACUAGGCCUGACACAAGGUGAAGCAUUCUGGCUGCUCUCAUAUCCAAUGUGGACCAGUCAAACUGGUAUAGAGCCCUUGACUUUGAACAAGUGACAAGGCUGCAGUCUUUCAGGUGACUAAACCAUUAUGUGUCUACCAUAAAGGCCAAAAGAAGUGAAGCCAGCUCAGGCUGUAACAUCUAAAGCACCUGAAAUUGAAGGAAAUGUGAUUAAACUGAUCAAAUGGGUCAUACCUAUGUGACCCGUGCUGCAAAGGUAGGCAGAAAAGCCCACCCCGCCAGCCUGAGCUGCAAACAGCAGCAUCUGGCAAAAGACUCCUUAUUGUAGGUAUCAAGAUGCUGGUAGCUGUGCCAUUUCAAAGAAAAACAGUGGCAUUCUUGCUUCAUUGAAGCAUGACAAAGCAAAAACGGUCAGUGUUUGGCCUGUGCCCAAGUGUCAGGAUGCCUUAUAACUGCCACACAUACGAAGUCUGCAUUUUCAAGAAACUUCUGAAGUAGAGGAAGAAUGAGGAAAGCAGGGCUAAACCAGCAGGUAUGUAUUUUGCUUGUGCAUAUUGCCAUGAGCAAGCUUGCAGGCAGUUGGGCAAGGAAGGUCGGGCUUGACCAGUUUCCCCCAGGCUGUGCCUCUGCAGUCCCAGGAGGUCCAGCCCUCCUUGGUGAGCUGGUGUGCACUGAGUGUGCAUGUGCCAUGAACCUAGGAGAAGUCCCUUCAGUAUAAAUAGGCAUCCCAGGAUAUCUGAGGACUCCAACUGACUCAAUGGCAACUAUCUCAGGUAUGUCAGCCCAUGCAACUCUUGCAUUUCCCAGCUGCAGCCUACAUAGCUGGAGAGUUAAUGGGCAUGGAGAAUCUGGCUCCCUUGAUCCCAAGUGUCCAAGGAAUGACCCAGCCAUCUGCAGGAAUCAUUACCGUCCUCUGCAAGGGGGUACAAGGUCAAACCAAUUGAACGUUGUCUAAAGAGGAUCUUGGGGAGGGAAUGUUUUCAUUACAACAGUUCAUCUUUCUUUUCACAGUUCAUCAAAAGCAGGCCUUCUGCAUACACACGCAAGACAAAUAGGAAGGAGGGGUGAUGACAGAUACUGUAGGCCCAUGGUGAUUGGGAUGACCCUCCACUCACACAGUUGAUCAAAGGCAAGUAAAACAAUCAGCCAGCCAUCAGCAACAAUGUAAUAUUAAGCUCCUAAAACACCCCAUUUAAUUAAGUCAUUAUGAUCAAAAUCUCUAUACCAGAUCUUUUAAGUUAUACACGCAUAGACCUUGCCUUAAGAUAGCAGAAAAAACUUCCGGAGGGAAAGCUGCUGUUAACAACUAUUAAUGAAAUCAUAUCUCCUCCUCCCAUCCCCCAGAUCAAUUGUUCUUUGGAAGGAUAUACUUCUGCCUCAUUUCCCCACAUGGAGCUCAGAAAGCUGGGCACUUUUCUUCUGUCUAGUGCUUUGUCAUUUAUGAUGUCAGCUUCUUUUUGGGAUGAUCCCUAUGAUGUCACAGAGCCUACCUUUGUGAACCUGCUGCUGGCCUAACAAGCCUGAUCCAAAACACACUGAAGAAAUUAUCUGGCCCCUUGCACGUGCAGUCCCAGCACAGGAGGGAUGGAGAAGAGCACUUUGCUUUCAUUGAGAAUAUAUCAAUAGGAAAGCACUUGCACUGUUCAGCCUGGUUCCUGUAGUGUAGGGAUUUCUGAUCCAGGCAAGAACAAGAUGGGAUGUAAAAUGCAGCUACUCUGGAGACAGAUCUCAAGUUUUCACUAAACUCAAGAGCAUCUUUGGAGGAUGGUUGAGACUCCUUAAAUGUCUGUGUUUGGAUAAGAUGCAUCCUCCUCUGGAAGCUUCUCUCUCUGUUGACUGGAGGGAUCUGUGAAGCAGACAGAUCUGAGAAACUAGCUUAAACUAGCUAGAUAAAUGAGUAGAGAUGAGUCCCAUCGUUUAGGUUUGUAGUAAUUACUAUAAAGACUUCAGACAGUGUAAUGAUGACAAAUGGAUAGACUUUUAAUUCCUAGAUGAAAAAUAUAUUGGUUUUGUUGAUUUAUUUUUCUCUGCUUUCAUCGUUGGCUUAAGGCAAUCUAAUUCAGUACUACCUCUGCAAGUGGUGACUCAGCCCUCCAUCAUUCAUUCCCACCUCAUCACCUCUGCACCUUGGAGAUUGUGCAGUUGAGCACUCAGAUGAGGGAACUCUUCCCUUUUUUCCUGUUUUCUGCUGACUGGAGUGUUUAGCUGGAUCAGCCUCGAGCACUUGGUCUCCCAGAUGUGUGAGCCCUACAGCUAGCACAGGAGGGGGGAAGGGAACUCAUGGGCAGGGGCAGAAAAGCAAUGUUACAUAUCUUGGCAAAAAAAUCUGACUUGGAUUGGCUCAUUCCGGUCAUGAAAACACACCUAACUCACUUGUGAUCUGGUAACACCGUAGUGAGAGAUUCUACUUCUCAUUACUGGUUUCCUGAGUCAUCUGAGCAAUGGUAAUUUCCCUACCGCUCUUUUCAUUAUAGAAGGGCAUGGCAAUUAGGAAGAGUAAAACUUGCCAUAUGCUUUAAGCCAGCCAUGAGUUCAUCAAGCACCUGAAAGGAAAUCUGUCAACGUACUGCUUGGCAUGAAGCAGAUGACUUCCGCACUUGUAGUAGCACAACAGCAUUAGCCAGCACUAGGCAGGGAAGAAGGCUCAGGGGAAGGAGCAAGGGUCUUUACCCUGGAUGUUUUGAGCCACAGGAGCAGUUCCUGGAGCAGGCUACAGCUAAAGGAGUGAUGUCCCAGAGCUGGUGUAAAGAGGACUUCUGGACAGGCUAGGCUUGUAAGCCCAUCUCUUCUAAUUGUGUAUCUUGGCAAAUGGGUUGCAUCCAGGACUUUGUAAUUUGCUUACCCCAGAAGUAGAACCUUUUAUUCUGUGUAAACAGUAGGUGAGCAUUGACCCAAAUAUCAUAACCCAAACAGUGACAUCCUUAGAAAAUCCAGAUGCAUUUUCCAAGUGUCAGAACCAAGGGAAAAAACAAAGAAAGAGAAGGGAAGGGCUUAACUAAACAAUUUCAUCUGAUGAUCCAUGAAGAAAUUCCCCAUAAAUGUCAGUGGGAGAGCUUUCUCUCAGGCAAUUUGCUGUUUGCUGGGCAUUUGUUGCCACAGAGUUCAGUCUGGCUUUAGUGACCACCCUGGCUGCGUUCCCUGUCUUUGCACUGACCAGCCUACUAUCAGUCAAGAGCAAAGCAGUGUGGGGAAGAGGCGCUGAACUUCAGUAGAAAAGAACCCCCUAAACCUUAUCAUUAAGUCUUCCUCAGGGACUUGGAUUUUGAUCAGACUCCCCAAGGGUUGCGUAAAUAACGCCAAAGCAACCCUGGACUGUGCAUUCAAAAAUAACACAAUGAACGCAGACAGUGGAAUGGAGAACACAAAUGAGCUGGUGAAAUCUUUCCUGUGAAUUGCUGAGGAAACAGCUGUCCUAGAGGAUCACGUAACAGUGAACUGGAGUCUUCUGCUCUUCAAGGAGCCAUUCAAGAUGGUAUUUUUCCUUUACCACCUGUUGGAACAGUUCAAGAUUCUUCUAAAAUCCUAACUCACUACUUUCUAGCUUGGGGGCUAGAACAUGCCUGGGGUAGGGAGUUACCUGAGCCGUGAGCUUUGCUCCGAGGAGGAGUUCAUCGUUUUUGCAAAGUUGAACGUCAUCAGAAGUCCCAGAAAACCACUCACCCCUAGGAUGAGUGCAUGAGGCCCAGAUCUGGGAGGUGGCCAAGAUGUCAGCUUAAGAUGGUUCUCACUCAUCACCACACUGUGCUUACGGUUGACUUCAAGCUUCCCAGUGACUGGACCCAGUGGUGCAUGUCACUGGGGAUCCACUUGCUUGCUGACUGCAGGCUCAGUUCUGCAAAGCACCUUCUUAAUUUCUGGAGCCUGCUUACAUCCACUGGUGUUCAUGAAAAUACUGGCGGGCGUGCCUCUAUUUAAGGCUCAGUAGGACUCAUAUGCAAGGGAUCUGCUGAAAAGAAAC